rnacentral:rRNA from 1 species
UACGAAGGUGGCAAGCGUUACUCGGAAUUACUAGGCGUAAAGGGCAGGUAGGUGGUUUGGUAAGUCUGUUGUGUAAGCUCCUGGCUUAACUGGGAGAGGUCAACAGAAACUAUCAAACUUGAGUAUGGGAGAGGGUACUGGAAUUCCCGGUGUAGCGGUGAAAUGCGCAGAGAUCGGGAGGAACACCAAUGGCGAAAGCAGGUGCCUGGACCAUUACUGACACUCAGCUGCGAAAGCUAGGGGAGCAAACAGG